rnacentral:rRNA from 1 species
GUAGGGUGCGAGCGUUAAUCGGAAUUACUGGGCGUAAAGCGUGCGCAGGCGGUUUUGUAAGCCAGAUGUGAAAGCCCCGGGCUUAACCUGGGAAUGGCAUUUGGGACUGCAAGGCUUGAGUGCGGCAGAGGAGACUGGAAUUCCUGGUGUAGCAGUGAAAUGCGUAGAUAUGCGGAGGAACACCGAUGGCGAAGGCAAUCCCCUGGGCCUGCACUGACGCUCAUGCACGAAGGCGUGGGGAGCAAACAGGAUUAGAUACCCUGGUAGUCCACGCCCUAAACGAUGUCAACUGGUUGUUGGACGGCUUGCUGUUCAGUAACGAAGCUAACGCGUGAAGUUGACCGCCUGGGGAGUACGGCCGCAAGGUUG